rnacentral:lncRNA from 1 species
UUGGUGAGGAUGUGGAGAAAUCAGGGCCCUUGUUCAUCACUGCUGGGAAUGCAACAUGGUGCAGCCACUUUGGAAAACAGUCUGGAAGCUCCUCGGAAAGCAAAACAUAGAAUUACCAGGGGGCCCAACAAUUCCACUCCUAGCGCCAACACCAAGCACUGGCUCCGGCAUGUAAUAGUCGCUCAAUAAACGCCUGACAAAUGAAUGGCACAAAGAAGGCGCUCGAGAAACGUAAACAGUGUUGAAGCAACUCACCUAAUGCCACGCGCUUCAGAGGGAGAAGGGACUUCGCUGGUCGUGUGUGGAUGCCCUUGGUGUUCAGGUGUCACAGGUCCAGCAAAACAAGAACCUCGCUGUAGCCCUGGAGGCCUGGGAGGAAGGGGCCGAGGGUGGCUGAAAAGUUCCGGUAAAGCAACCGUGGGCUUGCUCCAUGCUGGGGCGAAGAGCGGGCAGGAAGCGGGGCUGCGUCAGGACGCGGUGCCUCCCCUGAGAGGCAGGGGGCUGGCGAAGGCUGAGGGGCAGGUGCAGACGGUGAGCCGGGAGUGCUUGGUGCAUAGUUGGCGCCCUGGGUGAUGGCUGAAUCAAUGGAUGAUGAGCGAGCACGUGGAUGUUUUGCUGAAGGCAUCUGAUGUGGCUGAACCUGCAGCAAACUGAUUCUGUUUGGAACUUGGGGGCCAGAGAGGAACCACCCAGGACAGACAGAGUGGGCACUUUGGUUGCCUGGAACAUUAGGCCUCCCCAUGUUCACUGAGGACCAGGAGUUACUGUUCGGGUCCUUGUGAAUUCCAAAGCCUCUUGGGAAUGUCAUCUGUAAGCAUCCACUAACACUUAGAAACACACAUUCUCUUUGACCCUGCCAUCCCACUUCCGGGAAUCUGCCCCACAGGAAUGGAAACCCUAGCAUGGAAGGCCACAGGACCAGAAUGUUUACUGUGCCAUGUUUGUGGGGGCAAAAACCUGGAAGCAAUCUGACAGUCCAUCAGGACUGGAAAGGUUGGAGAAGUUGUGCUACGUGCCUUUUUGAAAUACCAACCUUUUAAAAAUUCGAUUUCUAUGUAAUUAUCUGGAGUACUGUCCUUGAUCUAUUGCAAAGUAAAAAACGGAAAACCCCCAAAAAACUCCAAGUAGGCCAGUAAUGUGAAUCAAACAAUGCUAGAAAAUUU